GAACGCUGGCGGCGUGCUUAACACAUGCAAGUCGACCGGAAAGGCCCUGCUUUUGUGGGGUGCUCGAGUGGCGAACGGGUGAGUAACACGUGAGUAACCUGCCCUUGACUUUGGGAUAACUUCAGGAAACUGGGGCUAAUACCGGAUAGGAGCUCCUGCUGCAUGGUGGGGGUUGGAAAGUUUCGGCGGUUGGGGAUGGACUCGCGGCUUAUCAGCUUGUUGGUGGGGUAGUGGCUUACCAAGGCUUUGACGGGUAGCCGGCCUGAGAGGGUGACCGGCCACAUUGGGACUGAGAUACGGCCCAGACUCCUACGGGAGGCAGCAGUGGGAAAUAUUGCACAAUGGGCGGAAGCCUGAUGCAGCAACGCCGCGUGCGGGAUGACGGCCUUCGGGUUGUAAACCGCUUUCGCCUGUGACGAAGCGUGAGUGACGGUAAUGGGUAAAGAAGCACCGGCUAACUACGUG
rnacentral:rRNA from 1 species